GGGCCCGUAGCUCAGCAAGGAUAGAACAUUGAGAAUUUAACGCGAACAGUGUCCAAAGCACCGGGCUUUUAACCCGGGGGUCUCGGGUUCAAUUCCCGACGGGCCCGCCA
rnacentral:tRNA from 1 species